AGCUCCAAUAGCGUAUAUUAAAGUUGUUGCGGUUAAAAAGCUCGUAGUUGGAUUUCUGUCGGUGAGUCGCAGUCCGCUCUCAGUGGUUGGUACUAGCGCUUUCACCGGCAUCUUCCUGGGGACUGUGUCUGCUCUUUAUUGAGUGGGGCAAAAUCCAGGACUUUUACUUUGAGGAAAUAGGAGUGUUUCAAGCAGGCAAUCGCCAUGAACAUGUUAGCAUGGAAUAAUAGCAUCGGACCUCGUUCCAAAGCUGUUGGUUUCUUGGAAUGAGGUAAAGGUGAAUAGGGAUUGUUGGGGGCAUUCGUAUUUAACUGUCAGAGGUGAAAUUCUUGGAUUUGUUGAAGACGGACUACUGCGAAAGCAUCUGCCAAAGAUGUUC
rnacentral:rRNA from 1 species